GUGUGUGACAGGCAAAUCCGUCACAUAAGCCGAAGACGAGAUGUGGAGCGAAAUUAAGUAGUGAAGUAUGUGAGCCAUGUGCCGAGAAAAGCCGCUAUUGUUUUAUAUGUGCCCGUACCGUAAACCGACACAGGUGGAUGAGGAGAGAAUCCUAAGGCUGACGGAAGAAGCAUUGUUAAGGAAUUCGGCAAAAUGACCCCGUAACUUCGGGAGAAGGGGUGCCCACUGAAUGGUGGGCCGCAGAGAAUAGGCUCAAGCAACUGUUUAGCAAAAACACAGGUCUAUGCGAAACCGAAAGGUGAAGUAUAUGGGCUGACGCCUGCCCGGUGCUGGAAGGUUAAGAGGAGAGGUUAGCGCAAGCGAAGCUUUGAAUUUAAGCCCCAGUAAACGGCGGCCGUAACAAUAACGGUCCUAAGGUAGCGAAAUUCCUUGUCGGGUAAGUUCCGACCCGCACGAAAGGCGUAAUGAUUUGAGCACUGUCUCGACAAUGCAUCCGGUGAAAUUGAAGUACCAGUGAAGAUGCUGGUUACCCGCGCCAGGACGGAAAGACCCCAUGGAGCUUUACUCCAGUUUGAUACUGGGAUUCGGUACUGCACGUACAGGAUAGGUGGGAGACUGAGAACUAUGGACGCCAGUCUGUAGGGAGUCGCUGUUGGGAUACCACCCCUGUAGUACUGGGUUUCUAACCAUCUGCCGUGAUCCGGCAGUGGGACAAUGUCAGGCGGGGAGUUUGACUGGGGCGGUCGCCUCCGAAAGGGUAUCGGAGGCGCUCAAAGGUUCCCUCAGAAUGGUCGGAAACCAUUUGAAGAGUGCAAAGGCAGAAGGGAGCUUGACUGCGACACCGACGGGUGGAGCAGGUACGAAAGUAGGACUUAGUGAUCCGGUGGUAUAAAGUGGGAUUGCCAUCGCUCAACGGAUAAAAGCUACCCUGGAUAACAGGCUUAUCACUCCCAAGAGUUCACAUCGACGGAGUGGUUUGGCACCUCGAUGUCGGCUCAUCGCAUCCUGGGGCUGUAGCAGGUCCCAAGGGUUGGGCUGUUCGCCCAUUAAAGCGGUACGCGAGCUGGGUUCAGAACGUCGUGAGACAGUUCGGUCCCUAUCCGGCGCGGGCGGAGGAUAUUUGAGAGGAGCUGUCCUUAGUACGAGAGGACCGGGAUGGACGGACCACUGGUGUAUCUGUUGUCGACCAACGGCAUGGCAGAGUAGCCAAGUCUGGAAGGGAUAAACGCUGAAGGCAUCUAAGCGUGAAGCCCCCCUCAAGAUGAGAUAUCCCUCCUUCGGGAGUAAGACCCCUUGAAGACUACAAGGUAGAUAGGGCAGAGGUGGAAGUGUGGCAACACAUGGAGCUGACUGUUACUAAUAGGUCGAGGGCUU
rnacentral:rRNA from 1 species